rnacentral:tRNA from 1 species
GCUAUAGCUCAGUUGGUAGAGCCCUGGAUUGUGAUUCCAGUUGUCGUGGGUUCGAGCCCCUCUAG